rnacentral:lncRNA from 1 species
GGAAGGACUCCCAGACCUAUAUGAACUGCUAAGGAAAAACUAUCAUUUGGAAAAUAAGACUGUCAUUGGCCUGCAGGGAGAGGCCUCUUGUUUCAGAAGGCUGCAAUGAGGUGAUGGUCACAGUUUGAGUUUGAUAUCAAUAGUCAAGUCUCAUUUUUCUCUGAAGACACCCAGAGCAUAUUGGAUCUGCCAAGAGUAUUGACUUGGAGAAGCUGAAUAAGCAACUGAAUUGCCAUGCUAACACUGAUGUUU